rnacentral:rRNA from 1 species
UACGUAGGGUGCAAGCGUUAAUCGGAAUUACUGGGCGUAAAGCGUGCGCAGGCGGUUUUGUAAGUCUGAUGUGAAAUCCCCGGGCUCAACCUGGGAAUUGCGAUGGAGACUGCAAGGCUAGAAUCUGGCAGAGGGGGGUGGAAUUCCACGUGUAGCAGUGAAAUGCGUAGAGAUGUGGAGGAACACCGAUGGCGAAGGCAGCCCCCUGGGUCAAGACUGACGCUCAGGCACGAAAGCUAGGGGAGCGAACAGG